rnacentral:rRNA from 1 species
GAUGAACGCUGGCGGCGUGCCUAAUACAUGCAGGUCGAGCGAAUGGAUUAAGAGCUUGCUCUUAUGAAGUUAGCGGCGGACGGGUGAGUAACACGUGGGUAACCUGCCCAUAAGACUGGGAUAACUCCGGGAAACCGGGGCUAAUACCGGAUAACAUUUUGAACAGCAUGGUUCGAAAUUGAAAGGCGGCUUCGGCUGUCACUUAUGGAUGGACCCGCGUCGCAUUAGCUAGUUGGUGAGGUAACGGCUCCCCAAGGCAACGAUGCGUAGCCGACCUGAGAGGGUGAUCGGCCACACUGGGACUGAGACACGGCCCAGACUCCUACGGGAGGCAGCAGUAGGGAAUCUUCCGCAAUGGACGAAAGUCUGACGGAGCAACGCCGCGUGAGUGAUGAAGGCUUUCGGGUCGUAAAACUCUGUUGUUAGGGAAGAACAAGUGCUAGUUGAAUAAGCUGGCACCUUGACGGUACCUAACCAGAAAGCCACGGCUAACUACGUGCCAGCCGCCGCGGUAA